rnacentral:rRNA from 1 species
AGUUCGUAUAGAUGAUUGUAGUCAAAGCUUUGUUGUGGUUAAAAAGCUCGUAGUUGAACCUUGGGCCUGGCUGGCCGGUCCGCCUCACCGCGUGCACUGGUCCGGCCGGGCCUUUCCCUCUGUGGAACCCCAUGCCCUUCACUGGGUGUGGCGGGGAAACAGGACUUUUACUUUGAAAAAAUUAGAGUGCUCCAGGCAGGCCUAUGCUCGAAUACAUUAGCAUGGAAUAAUGAAAUAGGACGUGCGGUUCUAUUUUGUUGGUUUCUAGGACCGCCGUAAUGAUUAAUAGGGACAGUCGGGGGCAUCAGUAUUCAAUUGUCAGAGGUGAAAUUCUUGGAUUUAUUGAAGACUAACUACUGCGAAAGCAUUUGCCAAGGAUGUUUUCAUUAAUCAGGAACGAAAGUUAGGGGAUCGAAGACGAUCAGAUACCGUCGUAGUCUUAACCAUAAACUAUGCCGACUAGGGAUCGGACGAUGUUAUUUUUUGACUCGUUCGGCACCUUACGAGAAAUCAAAGUGCUUGGGCUCCAGGGGGAGUAUGGUCGCAAGGCUGAAACUUAAAGAAAUUGACGGAAGGGCACCACCAGGGGUGGAGCCUGCGGCUUAAUUUGACUCAACACGGGGAAACUCACCAGGUCCAGACACAAUGAGGAUUGACAGAUUGAGAGCUCUUUCUUGAUUUUGUGGGUGGUGGUGCAUGGCCGUUCUUAGUUGGUGGAGUGAUUUUGUCUGCUUAAUUGCGAUAACGAACGAGACCUUUAACCUGCUAAAUAGCCCGUAUUGCUUUGGCAGUACGCCGGCUUCUUAUAGGGACUAUCGGCUCAAAGCCGAUGGAAGUUUGAGGCAAUAACAGGUCAGUAAGUCCACAAAAGAAUCGAAU